AGUGCGAGCUACUGAGCUCUGCUCUGCUCCGCCCCCCCACCCUCCCGUCGCGCGCGCGGCCGCCGCCGCCCUCCCUGAUCCGAGAGCCAGAGAAGCCGUAACUUUCUGUCUUUGAAGCCCAUUGGAGGUCCAAGAUCUUGUCGAUGUUCAUCUGGAGAUAGCAUGUCAUGUCUGAACAACAGGAUCAUGUCAGUAAAAGCUCCAGCUCAAGCAUCAGCACCAGCACUCAGGAAAGCGAGGAGGAGGUGUCCGUAACUAUCGGUAGCCUCCUCGCUCACGCAAGGAACGACAAAGCACAUAGUCUUGGGAGGCGUCUCUUGCAUUUGGGUUCCGUCCCGCACCAUCCUCGAGUUAAUGGAGAGAUCCCUAAUGUUGAUAAUGCAACCUUGGAUCAUGAAAGACUGUUGGAAAGGCUGGGGACUUAUGGUCUGGCCGAGUUUCAGAUAGAGGGAGAUGGAAAUUGUCAGUUUCGAGCUCUGGCAGACCAAAUUUUUCGCAAUCCUGAAUAUCACAAACAAGUGAGGAAGGCAGUCAUGAAGCAGCUAAAGGAAUUCAGAAAACGCUAUGAAGGCUAUGUACCAAUGGAAUAUAAGGUGUACUUGAAGAAAAUGAAAAGCUUCGUAUAUAUGUCCUGCAGAUCAGGGGAAUGGGGGGAUCAUCUGACCUUACAAGCGGCUGCAGACCGGCUCAAAGGCCUGAGGCACAAAAAAGAAGUCCCACUUCGAGUCUAUUCAGUAAUAUGUGUGUCUGAUGUCAUUGUUCACUAUUCAUUUUGGUGCCAAAAUUUGCUUACUGACGUCAUUUAGGGACACCUGCUUAAUCGAGAUAGUCCCCAGGGACCUGACUCCGACAAGAGAGCUUUGGCUUAGCUUCUGGUGUGAAGUACACUACAAUUCCUUGUAUGCGACUGACGAUCUCCUGACUCGCAAAACUAAGAAGAAGCAUUGGUUGUUCUAGGGCGGUACCGACUUCCGGGAGAGAGGAGCUUCUCUUUGCUGCAGCUGUUCUUCUCCCUUGAGCUUAGCAGGGUCUGCAAUACUUUACUAGCGCUUACUGUUACUUUGUAAAAUCCAAGUUGAGACUGCGCAGGAAUUUUACGGGAACACAUCCGCAAAAAUAUCGAAACGUGACCCAGGUUUGUGUAGGAUUAUGAGGCAAUGUACAGUAAACUUCGAUGUA